ACUCAACAGCGCUGGUACUCUUUUGUUAUCAGCAAUGUCGUUUGCAAUGAAGUACUGUUCCAGUCGUUCAAUGUAAGUUGCCCAGUUUUCUUGCGUGUCAUCAAACACAUCUAUUUUCCAGAUGCUAGCCAUUCUCUUUACCUCCGGCUCCACGGGUCUUUGAUCUGCCGCCUCGUUGUCGUCAGCUCUCCCCAAAACGAGAUAUCAAGGACUAGCAGAGGUAGAGAGGCAGGGGACUGGAGACCACAGCAGCGAUUCUGCUCUUGCCCAACCUCUUCAAUGAGGACCCGAGUGGCCUUUAUGUCCGUGACAAGAUUUCACCGCUCUUCACUCCUUUACUGCACAUCAGCGGAAAUCCAUUUCACCAUGAGAGUGAAAUCCCACUGGCCUUUGAUGGGGAGAACAUCCACAACAUCGAGGAGGUCUCCAUGGGACUUGGGGUUCUGCUAUGGCUGUAUUUUUUAUUUUCCCUUAAAUUUCCCAAAAAUGUCAGAAAAACACAUGUUGUUAAGUUACUGUGUUCUGGGGAAAAGAGAAGUUGGGUGACGUUACCAGGGCCGGUCAUAAAGAUGGCAAACUUCCUAACAUAACUAAGUGAAUAUGAUACACACUAAAGCUGAAAAAUCUGUAUUUAGCAUCAAGUCUACAAUAUUGUUAGUUUACCUAUGAUUCAUUUUUAAUGCAUGUUGUUUUUAUUGUACAUCAUUAUUAUUAUUUUAAAUGUCAUGAAAAGCAUUUUACAAAGUAAUGUUAUUAUUUAAUAUGGUCUGACAUGUCUGCAGAAAUGUUGCAAUUUGUAAUGUGUUUUGUUUGGUAAAUUGUAGUGUAAAUAUUAAUUCACAUUUGUGGUGCCACUAAAUAAACAAUUCAUUAUUUAAGUAAAUAUUGUCAAUAUUAUUAUAUGUUUUUAUAAUGGAGGGAGGGUGGACAGGGAGUUAAAAAAUGAACCCCAAAAGGUUCUUUGAGGAACCAUGAUAAGGGGUUUUUCAAAUAACUUAUAGGGGUUCCCACAAAAGGUUCUUCAAAUAACUUUUUGUCUGAAAGUUUUUUCUCAACUGCGAUACCAACUCCAGUCAGCAGAUGGCGAUGUGCGUCUUUUAGGUGAUUCUGCCACUGUGAGGUGUAUUCUAGUGGACGGGACGCUCCUUCAAC
rnacentral:lncRNA from 13 species